rnacentral:rRNA from 1 species
CCUACGGGUGGCUGCAGUGGGGAAUAUUGCACAAUGGGGGAAACCCUGAUGCAGCGACGCCGCGUGAGUGAAGAAGUCAUUCGUUAUGUAAAGCUCUAUCAGCAGGGAAGAAAAUGACGGUACCUGCGUACGAAGCGCCGGCUAACUACGUGCCAGCAGCCGCGGUAAUACGUAGGGGGCAAGCGUUAUCCGGAUUUACUGGGUGUAAAGGGAGCGUAGACGGCAGUUCAAGUCUGGAGUGAAAGGCGGGGGCUCAAACCCCGGACUGCUCUUGAAACUGUACGGCUGGAGUGCAGGAGAGGGAAGUGGAAUUCGUAGGGUAGCGGUGAAAUGCGUAGAUAGUAGGAGGAACACCAGUGGCGAAGGCGGCUUACUGGACUGUAACUGACGUUGAGGCUCGAAAGCGUGGGGAGCAAACAGGAUUAGAUACCCCUGUAGUC